UACGAGGGGUGCAAACGUUAUUCGGAAUCACUGGGCGUAAAGGGUGUGCAGACGGCGAAACAAGUCAGUUAUAAAAUCUCUUGGCUUAACCAAGAACCUGUAACCGAAACUGUUUUGCUUGAGGAUGGAAGAGAGAAGCGGAAUUCUCGGAGUAGCGGUAAAAUGCGUAGAUCUCGAGAGGAACACCGAUGGCGAAGGCAGCUUCUUGGUCCAUUUCUGACGUUGAGACACGAAAGCGUGGGGAGCAAACAGG
rnacentral:rRNA from 1 species